UGAGCAAUCUGCCCUUCACAUCGGAAUAAGCGUUGGAAACGACGUCUAAUGCCGAAUACGACCUCCUUUCGCAUGAUCGGAGGUGGAAAGCUCCGGCGGUGAAGGAUGAGCUCGCGGCCUAUCAGCUUGUUGGUGAGGUAAUAGCUCACCAAGGCGAUGACGGGUAGCCGGCCUGAGAGGGUGACCGGCCACACGUGGGACUGAGGCACGGCCCAGACCUCGUACGGGA
rnacentral:rRNA from 1 species